UACGGAGGGGGCUAGCGUUGUUCGGAAUUACUGGGCGUAAAGGGCGCGUAGGCGGUUUGGUAAGUUAGGCGUGAAAGGCCCGGGCUCAACCCGGGAACUGCGCUUAAGACUGCCGGGCUGUGAGUCCGGGAGAGGAUGGCGGAAUUCCCAGUGUAGAGGUGAAAUUCGUAGAUAUUGGGAAGAACACCAGUGGCGAAGGCGGCCAUCUGGCCCGGUACUGACGCUGAGGCGCGAAAGCGUGGGGAGCAAA
rnacentral:rRNA from 1 species